GUCCCUUCGAGAACAUCUGAUAAAAUUGGAACGACACAGAAAAGAUUAGCAUGGACUCUGCGCAAGAAUGACACGCAUAAAUCGAGAAAUGGUCCAACUUUUU